AAAUUGAAGAGUUUGAUCAUGGCUCAGAUUGAACGCUGGCGGCAGGCCUAACACAUGCAAGUCGAGCGGUAGCACAGAGAGCUUGCUCUCGGGUGACGAGCGGCGGACGGGUGAGUAAUGUCUGGGAAACUGCCUGAUGGAGGGGGAUAACUACUGGAAACGGUAGCUAAUACCGCAUAACGUCGCAAGACCAAAGUGGGGGACCUUCGGGCCUCAUGCCAUCAGAUGUGCCCAGAUGGGAUUAGCUAGUAGGUGGGGUAACGGCUCACCUAGGCGACGAUCCCUAGCUGGUCUGAGAGGAUGACCAGCCACACUGGAACUGAGACACGGUCCAGACUCCUACGGGAGGCAGCAGUGGGGAAUAUUGCACAAUGGGCGCAAGCCUGAUGCAGCCAUGCCGCGUGUGUGAAGAAGGCCU
rnacentral:rRNA from 1 species